rnacentral:rRNA from 1 species
UACGUAGGGGGCAAGCGUUGUUCGGAAUUAUUGGGCGUAAAGCGCUCGUAGGCGGGACUGGAAGUCCGUGUUGAAAGACCUCGGCUCAACUGAGGGACCGGCUCGGAUACUCUAGUUCUUGAGGCAAUCAGAGGGUGAUGGAAUUCCCGGUGUAGCGGUGAAAUGCGCAGAUAUCAGGAGGAACACCGGUGGCGAAGGCGGGUCUCUGGGCCGAUACUGACGCUGAGGAGCGAAAGCGUGGGGAGCGAACAGG